rnacentral:rRNA from 1 species
AGGACGAACGCUGGCGGCGUGCUUAACACAUGCAAGUCGAGCGAUAAGGCCUCUUCGGGGGUACACGAGCGGCGAACGGGUGAGUAACACGUGGGUGACCUGCCCUCAGCUCUGGGAUAAGCCUGGGAAACUGGGUCUAAUACUGGAUAUGACUGCGCAUCGCAUGGUGUGUGGUGGAAAGUUUUUUCGGCUGGGGAUGGGCCCGCGGCCUAUCAGCUUGUUGGUGGGGUGAUGGCCUACCAAGGCGACGACGGGUAG